AAAAGUUUAUCAAAGAAUAAUGAUAAUACUAAGCCUAUAAUGUAAUGUCUAAUACUUAACUAUGUUAGACAAUUUAAUAUAAGAUGAUGAGUUAACAGGUAUGUUAUGCUAAUUAAAAGAUCAAUCUUAUAACUGAUAGGUCUUUUCAAUAAUGACGUUAACUUAGAUUGCGUAGCAGUAAUCAACUGUUCAUGCAAGUUUUUCUAACUCAAACUUGAGUUGUUUGUUCAAAGCAUGUUAGUGAAU
rnacentral:lncRNA from 1 species